rnacentral:rRNA from 1 species
GCAGCCGCGGUAAUACGUAGGUGGCGAGCGUUAUCCGGAUUUACUGGGUGUAAAGGGUGUGUAGGCGGGAUUGCAAGUCAGAUGUGAAAAUUACGGGCUCAACUCGUAACCUGCAUUUGAAACUGCGAUUCUUGAGUAUCGGAGAGGUAAACGGAAUUCCCAGUGUAGCGGUGAAAUGCGUAGAUAUUGGGAGGAACACCAGUGGCGAAGGCGGUUUACUGGACGACAACUGACGCUGAGACACGAAAGCGUGGGGAGCAAACAGGAUUAGAUACCCC